AAAACUUUAAGUUAUAUAAACUAUUAACCUUCAAAGUUAACAUAAAAGAAUCUUUAAGUUUUA
rnacentral:tRNA from 1 species